ACACUGGCUAGAGCGACGGUUCGAAAGGAAGAUGGUCAUUCGACUACUCAUUGCAUCUUCUUGCCAGUGUCUUUUCUUAAAUGGGUAGUCGGA
rnacentral:ncRNA from 2 species